rnacentral:rRNA from 1 species
AACGAACGCUGGCGGCGUGGAUAAGACAUGCAAGUGGGACGCUAAUCAAUGGGUAGCAAUAUUCGUUGGUUGGAGUCGCGUAAGGGUGCGUAACACGUGGGUAAUUUGCCGCGAAGCUCGGAAUAACUUGCCGAAAGGUAAGCUAAUACCGAAUGUGACUCGUGCUGGGCAUCCAGUAUCAGUCAAAGCCGGGGAUCGUAAGACCUGGCACUUCGCGAUAAGCCCGCGGCCUAUCAGCUAGUUGGUGAGGUAAUGGCUCACCAAGGCUUAGACGGGUAGCUGGUCUUAGAGGACGACCAGCCACACUGGAACUGAGACACGGUCCAGACACCUACGGGUGGCAGCAGUCGAGAAUUUUUCACAAUGGGCGAAAGCCUGAUGGAGCGACGCCGCGUGGGGGGAUGAAUGGCUUCGGCCCGUAAACCCCUGUCAUUCGGGAUCAAAUCUGAUAACCUAACACGUUGUUAGUUGAUAGUACUGAAAGAGGAA